GACGAACGCUGGCGGCGUGCUUAACACAUGCAAGUCGAACGAAGUGGCGAACGGGUGAGUAACGCGUAAUCAACCUGCCCUUCAGAGGGGGAUAACAGUUGGAAACGACUGCUAAUACCGCAUACUGAAGGAGGGAUUGCGUCUGAUUAGCUAGUUGGAGGGGUAACGGCCCACCAAGGCGAUGAUCAGUAGCCGGUCUGAGAGGAUGAACGGCAAAAACGGGACUGGGAAACGGCCCAGACCCCUACGGGGGGCCAGAGUUGGGAAUCUUCCGAAAUGGACGAAAGUCUGACGGAGCAAAGCCGCGGGAGUGAUGACGGCCUUCGGGUUGUAAAGCUCUGUUAAUCGGGACGCGGUACCGGAAUAGAAAGCCACGGCUAACUACGUGCCAGCAGCCGCGGUAAUAC
rnacentral:rRNA from 1 species